ensembl:lncRNA
AUGAAUAUGUAAAUAUAUACUACAUGUUUUCCUCUCAAUAACGAAAUAAAAAACAGAAACGGACAGCGAAGAGAAAGCAGCAGUUAAGAAAGCAUCUGAUUACAGCAAUGUGGAUGUUUGCAGGAGCUCUGCAGUUCAGUACUCCAGUAAAGUCCAGUCACGUCACGUUUAUUUAUAUAGUACUUUAUAAAACAUUUGGUUCCAUUCCUCGAUUCUGAUUGGUCAGCAGUAACGAUACAGCACGACUAUGACCGUUUCACCCAACGGUUCAGUGUAUCACUGAGCAACACCCUUAGCAACAUAAACAAUCAAAAUAUAGCAUCAAUACUGUUUCAUGUUUUAUGUAUUUCGGCAGAAUUAAAAGUUUGUUAAUUAAUGAAGAAUGAGUGAGCCCUGCUGCUGCUAUGUUGUAUCUUUAAUUUUGAGAUCCCGCCCUUCCCCCAUCUAAUAAAUGCUUCUCAUGCAGAGAUAUGUUGAUGUGUGUGCAGCGCGCGUCUGUGUGGAAGCCCACAGUUUCCCAAGUGAGGAGGGAAUAUUACAGUAUUUAUUAGUUUUCUGUUUAAGGUGACUGCAGGAUUGAGUCGACCAUUGAAAUUGGCUGUGGGGCAGGUCACAAAGUAGCAUCACAUGCUGGUAUGCACAGGAUACAAACUCACAGAAAAGUUUGUAGAUUAGCUUUAAAAAAAAAAGUUUGUAGCUAACUUGGCUAGUUAUCUAGCACCUGAGUUAAAGGAAUAAUUAACAUAAUAGUAAAAGUUGCUAAGAAUGUUCUCACCCUCAGGCUGUUCAUGUAAAUGAGUUUGUUUCUUCACCAGAACAGAUUUCACACCAUAUCAUUACUCUCUGUACUCAGAACUGAAGUGGCCUGAUGAUUCACAACUAGUCACUUCUGUUAUUGAUCUAAACUGAACCAAAACUCACACUCAAACUUGAGCUAAUUAUUUAGAUCUGCUUUACAGGAGAAUCUGAAUCAUCUCCUAAGUGUUGAGUUUCCAUAAAUGAUUCUGCUAUUUUCCUGUUUAUCACUCUGACGCUGCUUCGACACAG